rnacentral:rRNA from 1 species
GACGAACGCUGGCGGCGUGCCUAAUACAUGCAAGUCGAACGGUCUUUUCUAUGGAAGCUUGCUUCCGCUGAGAAGAUAGUGGCGAACGGGUGAGUAACACGUGGGUAACCUGCCCAUAAGAGGGGGAUAACAUCCGGAAACGGGUGCUAAUACCGCAUAGUUUUCUUGAUCGCAUGAUUGAGAAAGGAAAGACGGCCUUUGUUCUGUCGCUUAUGGAUGUACCCGCUGCGUAUUAGUUAGUUGGUGAGGUAACGGCUCACCAAGACGAUGAUACGUAGCCGACCUGAGAGGGUGAUCGGCCACAUUGGGACUGAGACACGGCCCAAACUCCUACGGGAGGCAGCAGUAGGGAAUCUUCCGCAAUGGACGAAAGUCUGACGGAGCAACGCCGCGUGAGUGAAGAAGGUUUUCGGAUCGUAAAACUCUGUUGUCAGAGAAGAACAAGUCGGAGAGUAACUGCUCCGGCCUUGACGGUAUCUGACCAGAAAGCCACGGCUAACUACGUGCCAGCAGCCGCAGUAACAC